UACGUAGGUGGCAAGCGUUGUUCGGAAUUACUGGGCGUACAGCGCACGUAGGCGGCUUUGUAAGUUAGAGGUGAAAGCCCGGGGCUCAACUCCGGAAUUGCCUUUAAGACUGCAUCGCUAGAAUUGUGGAGAGGUAAGUGGAAUUCCGAGUGUAGAGGUGAAAUUCGUAGAUAUUCGGAAGAACACCAGUGGCGAAGGCGACUUACUGGACACAUAUUGACGCUGAGGUGCGAAAGCGUGGGGAGCAAACAGG
rnacentral:rRNA from 1 species